CUCCCCUUCGCCUUGUGCGGGGGGGGAGGGAGUUUGUCUCAGCCACCCUGGACAUGAGGCCCUAGAAGUGGCCUGAUUGGCCAAUUUGCAAAAAGGGGCGUGGUUUCGGCUGCAGCACGGUCGAUCCACGCCUCUACUCUUCAGUUCUUUUCAGGAUCUGCAUGAGGAAGGAGCUCUUUACUUGGGCUCCUUCCACUUAGGCCUGGGGAGGGUUCGCCCAGGAGCGGGUGUGGCAGUUCUCCAGCGGGUUCCUUCAGGUCCCGCUGUGCAGGGCAUUAGGUAGACAAGUCUCCAGGCUUUGCAAAAUACCAGCGGGGCUCUGUGGCCUGUGGGCCCGAUCGCAGCCUUCUCCAGUGUCCUGUUCCGGCAUCUGCAUCACGACAGGGCUUUGGCCCUUUGGUUUGUUGCAGGCCCGGGAGGGCCGUGGGGUGGGGCAUUUUGCAAGUUUUUCUACAGCUUUCUUAGCUCUCCUGAUCUUUGGAAGGGGUUUCUGGCUGCUUUUGGGGGCCUUGUUGUGAGGGGUUGUUGCUGGGCUUUCGAGUUGGCUUCUGGGGUUUUUUCCUUGAGCUUUGGUAUUCCCUGGGGGUGGCUAAGGUUUUUUCCCUUCGUGCAAACCUCUCCCACAUCCAUAGGGUUGCUCUGUAGAGCAAGAAUUGGGGGUUGGCUUCUCCUUCUAAUAUUGGUUGAGGGCUUGUGGGUGUUUUCACGAUGCCCAGGAAAGCUAAGGAGAAAAAGAGUGGGAAGCCUGUUAGGCAGCCCAAAGGCCCCCCCCCUUCUUCCUUGGAUGAGGAUGAUGAAGAAAUGGCCCUUAUUAGGGGCUUGAUUGGUAGGAUGGAGGCCUUGGAGAAGUCUCGCAGCGCUCCUUCUGAUAAGGGUGCUGGUCCUUCUGGCGGGGUGGUGGUGUCCCUCCUCCCAAGGUGCCUCGCAGGACCAGGAGGGCUGCCCGGAAUCAGCUUUUAAAAUCACUCUCUAGUAGGUUGGAGGCGUUGGAAAAGGGAGGGGGCAGCCGGCCCGGCUCCUCCCUCAGGUCCGCAAGAUCCAUCCAUGCCUGAUGACCUGGUUCCUGGAAGGCCUGCUCCCGUGGCUCCAUUGCCGUCGCCUGAGGACCCGGCUCCUGUGCUGCCUGCUCCGUCGCUUCCACUGCCUGCUGCGCCGGUUGAACCUCCGCCUGUGGACCCUCGAGUACCGGUGGCUCCGGGUAAAGUUGCUCGCAUCCAUGCUGAUUUGGACUCCAGAGUUUUGGCAGUUUCAGCAGACGUGCCUCAGGAUAAUGGACUGAAACUGCCUUGGUCGCUCUAGAGGACAAUCUAUGCCUGGAGCUAGACAGGGGAGUGCAUCCCUAUUGAUUCUGCUGGACCUCUCAAAGGCAACUGAUUCCAUCAACAAUGGUUUCCUUCUGGACCACCUAUCAAGUAUAGGAAUUGGAGGUGUUCCUUUGGAGUGGCUUUGGUCCUUUCUUCAGGGGAGGGACCAGAAGGUGGUGCUGGAGGACUACUGCUUGGCUCUGUGGCCAUUGGUCUGUGGAGUUCUGCAGGGUUAGGUUUUGUCCCCCAUGCUGUUUAACAUCUACAUGAAACCUCUAGGAAAGUUCAUCUGGGGACUUGGACUGAGUUGUCAGCAAUAUGCAGAUGACACUCAGCUCUAUCUCUCCUUGUCACCUGAUCCGAGGGAGGCAGUGGGUGUCCUGAAUUAGGGCUUGGAAGCCGUGAUGGGUUGGAUGUGUGCUAAUUAACAGAGAUUGAAUUCAGACAAAACAGAGGUAAUAAAAGAGCCCAUUGGGUUGAGGAAAUUCUGUUGGUUCUGGAUGGAGUUGCACUCCCCUUGGAAGAGCAAGUACACUGCUUGGGGUUAUUGCUGGACCCGGCUCUGCUUUUGGAAGGUCACGUUGGAGCAGUAUCCAGGGGUGUCUUUGUACAGCUUCGGCUAGUGUGCCAGCUGAGACCCUUUCUCAAGAAGGUAGAUCUGGCCACAAUUACUCAUGCCUUAGUCACGUCAUGGCUCGAUUACUGUAACACUCUCUACAUGGGGCUGCCCUUGAAGAAUAUUCAGAAAUUCAGAAUGUUUUUGCAGCUAGUGGCAGCUAGUAUUUUAUCAGGAGCUGCCCUUUGGGAUAACAUCACACCCAUUUUGAAAGAACUGCACUGGCUGCCAAUUUGUUUCGGGAUCCAAUUCAAGGUGCUAGUUUUGACCUUUAAAGCCCUUAACAGUUUGCAUCCUAGAUACCUGAUGGACUGCCUGCUCCCAAAGGUUGCUGCCCACUUGAUAAAGUCUUCUGGGUGGGUGGGGCUCUGCUCCAGGUGACAACAAUGAGGGAGACUCAGCUCUCAUACAUGCGGGACAGGGCCUUCUCAGUUGUUGGCCCCUGACUCUGGAAUGCUCUCCCAGUGGCCAAUCAUUCCUUAGUCUCCAUCAUAGUUUUUCAAAAGUGUGUGAAAUUUUGGGUUUUUGACCAGGCUUUUAAAUGAUUGUUCCUACUGGGGAAUAGGAAUAUGAUUAUUCCUAUUGGGGAUUAUUGGCCAAAAUACAAGGUCUUGGUUAUAAACCAUAAAGCCCUAAACAGCUUGGGCUCUGGGUAUUUAAGAGAAAGUCUUCUUUGCUAUGAACCUCACCACCCACUGAGAUCAUCAUGAGAGGUUUGUCUGCAGUUGCCACUGGCUCGUCUGGUGGCUAAUCGAGGAUGGGCCUUUGCCAUUGCUGCCCCGAGGCUUUGGAACGUGCUCCCUGCUGAAAUAAGAGCCUCUUACACCUUUUAAAAAGGCAGUCAAGACACAUUUGUUUAUCCAGGCUUUUAAUUAGUUACUGUUUUAAUAGUUUGAUGAUUUAAAUAGUUUUAAUGUUGUUUUAAGUUUUAAAUUGUUGUAAUGUUUUAACCUUUUUACUUCUUGU